GUUCACUGCCACGCAGGCAGCUUAGAAA
rfam:Pseudoalteromonas porphyrae strain TCD-SED14 scaffold_6, whole genome shotgun sequence.